GCAGCCUGAUGCAGCAACGCCGCGUGAGGGACGACGGCCUUCGGGUUGUAAACCUCUUUUAGCAGGGAAGAAGCGAAAGUGACGGUACCUGCAGAAAAAGCACCGGCUAACUACGUGCCAGCAGCCGCGGUAAUACGUAGGGUGCAAGCGUUAUCCGGAAUUAUUGGGCGUAAAGAGCUCGUAGGCGGUUUGUCGCGUCUGCUGUGAAACCCCGAGGCUCAACCUCGGGCCUGCAGUGGGUACGGGCAGACUAGAGUGCGGUAGGGGAGAUUGGAAUUCCUGGUGUAGCGGUGGAAUGCGCAGAUUUCAGGAGGAACACCGAUGGCGAAGGCAGAUCUCUGGGCCGUAACUGACGCUGAGGAGCGAAAGGGUGGGGAGCAAACAGGCUUAGAUACCCUGGUAGUCCACCCCGUAAACGUUGGGAACUAGUUGUGGGGUCCAUUCCACGGAUUCCGUGACGCAGCUAACGCAUUAAGUUCCCCGCCUGGGGAGUACGGCCGCAAGGCUAAAACUCAAAGGAAUUGACGGGGACCCGCACAAGCGGCGGAGCAUGCGGAUUAAUUCGAUGCAACGCGAAGAACCUUACCAAGGCUUGACAUAUACGAGAACGGGCUAGAAAUAGUCAACUCUUUGG
rnacentral:rRNA from 1 species